UACGUAGGGGGCAAGCGUUGUCCGGAUUUAUUGGGCGUAAAGAGCGUGUAGGCGGCUUGGUAGGUCCGCUGUGAAAACUCGAGGCUCAACCUCGAGAUGUCGGCGGAAACCACUUGGCUAGAGUCCGGAAGAGGAGAGUGGAAUUCCCGGUGUAGCGGUGAAAUGCGCAGAUAUCGGGAAGAACACCUAUGGCGAAGGCAGCUCUCUGGGACGGUACUGACGCUGAGACGCGAAAGCAUGGGGAGCGAACAGG
rnacentral:rRNA from 1 species